rnacentral:tRNA from 1 species
AUUUAAAUAGUUUAUUAAAAUAUUGAUUUGUGGAAUCAAAGAUGUAUAGUGUACUUUAAAUU